ensembl:lncRNA
AAUCAACAAAAUUAUUCUCAACAUCCUCAUCAAGCAUCCCGGUGCAAUGUAGAAUUUAUUUCACUCUGGCAUAAUCAUUUAGCUGAGUUUUCAGGUGAAACACACACCACUAAGUCGGAUUAUGCUGUAGAUGGGGGGGGGGGGGGAAUAAAAGGGAAACAAAAUAAACAGGUGGAAGUAGCAAAUCAUUUUACUUGUAUCCUUGAAUCUCUCCCUUCCUAAUUAUGUUCUUCCAUUUAUUUUCUUACAACCUUUCUCCAUCUCUUCACUCUGUUGUUAGAACUGCUGUCCCUCCUCCUACACUGCUCCAAAGCAAGUGCCAGCAACAGCAGCCUCUUGUGACUGCAAGCACUCAUUACCAGUUGUGGCUAAUAGUACUGUAACUAUUGUUACUAAUUUGAUACAGUUUGCUGCAUCUGUUUUGUUUGUUUUUUUGUUGUUGUUUUUAGUUUUUUUUUAGCUUUUUAGCGCCACUUUUUAAAAAUUUUGUUUGCCCAUCUUUCCCAACCACUUGUUCCACACUAAACUCUGUUCUACAGGGUGCGUGAAUGCACAGGCAAGGUACGUCAACGGUCGGUUGGCUUAAAAGAUUUGAUUGUGCAAUCCAGUGUCAGUAAUGAAAAUAGACAACAUAUGCCAGAUUACCAGUCCAGCCUUUUUUGUGCUGAGUAGUGAUUGGAAUUCUGGCUCUUUUUAGAGAACCAGCUCUUCUGGCUUGACUCACUAAAAAGAGCCGGCUCUUUCAACUCCCAACCGGCUCUUCGGGUUGUUUUGUUGCUUUAAUUAAUUUAUUAUCAACAAUAAUAUAAAAUUAUGCACAAAAUAAAUUACUAAUGUAAAACGAUAUGUUUUUUAUUUACAUACAUUUAUUAUAUAAAUAAAUUUAUUUAUUCACUCCACAUAAAAUGUAAAAAAAAAUAAAUUAUAAAAUACAAAAACCAACUAUUUACAAUUCAACUUUUAACUAUUUAAAUUUUCAUCUUUUUCCUUUUAAACAAAUUUAAAGUGAAACCACACAAAACACUGCAAACCACAACACAAUGAAUUUCAAAUAUGCAAAACAAAAAGAAGAUGCCCGUUCUCUCUCAUAUAGGCCUGG